CUGACUGAAAGGGGGAUGGAAGAGAGAGGCAGGACCCAGACGCUGAGAUAAGGCAUUGUAGGCACUGCAGUCACAGGAUGGGGGUUGAAACCCACUGCCCGAGGCAGAAAUAGGCUGGUGACUUGGCAGCGGAGUCAGGCAACCUCACCAGGCGUACACCUGCAAAACGAAUGGCUCUUUUAGGAAAACCCAGCUGCAGCGAGAUUCCCCUGGCUCUGGGGCAUGGAGUUGGACCAGGCAUCCUGGGCAUCGUCGGGGAGGCUGGGAUGGGUUUGCAUGUCCUCCUGCCUAUCGUUCCUGAUUCCUGUAGGACAGAAUGAACGGGGAUGUGGCCUUUAACUUCACAGACCUGAGGGUCCCUGCCUGAAAGUAGUGCCCCAAGGGCCUAAUCAAAACCAGGUCUCCAGGGAGCUGUACAAACACACACAAGGUCAUAGUCCUUGUCCCAAAGGAAUCCAAGAAGACAAAUGAUCUACAACGUUCAGCGAACAAGCGGUACGAUCGAAUAGAUACAAUUUGUUAAUAGAGAUACAUUUCUUUUUAAAUGUGAUUUAUUCUUAUAAAUGGUUAAAGGGUGGGACUUUCCAAAGUAAUAAGGUGCCCAAUUCCCAUUGAUUUUUCAUUGACAGAGAUUAAUGUUUUGUUUUCAACUAUGUAAAAUGCCUAGAUGCUUUGGCAGUGGAAGGAUAAUAUAUCAAUCAAUGAAUAAUAUUUCUGCUUGCUAAAUUCAGUAUGUAUUCAGUGACUGA